GCAUGGUAAUGGGUUUAUGGCGGGCCCUUCCCUGUGGGCCUCUCAGGGAAGCCCAUGCCAGAGUAAACUGCAGCCUCCAACCAUUGCCCAGACUCCUUAUCUGCGGGCUGUGAGCACUGAAGGCAGUUGUACAGUG